AUGUUGAUGGCCUAUCUAUAGAAUGGAUGGCUAAGAUCUCUCACCCCACAAGUCACCCUUGAUCGACGGUCUAUUUUCAUUCUCACAAUAAGAGGCAAGCUCAGGAAAACCCUAAAAACCUUAAUCUUAUCCAAGCCUAUAAAAAGGGAUUGUCUCUGCCCAAAAAUCUCUACACCUUAUCUCUUGUAACUAAUUCGGCACACACCACACUCUCAUGUUUAAUCUCUCUCAUGUAUGACCUCUCUCUCAUAUGGUGAAAGAACCUAAGGGUUUAGUAAAAAGAGAAUUCAUCUAUCUCAAAGUAGGUUGGUUAGGAUUUAAGUUUGUGAUCAAAGGAGUUCACGUUCCAUUGGUAUAAAUUUGCGUUCCUGGUUCGAGAUUGAAGCUAGACAUCUCGCGACAUCAGAUGGUGGUGACUCGAUGUGGGGUGUAAUAAACUCGGUUGAAGGCUACAACAAAGGCUGCCAUCGGGCGGGGAUUGGAGCUGCCAUCGGGCGGGGAUUGGAGCCGACCGGACCGAGGGUCGAUAAAGCCUAAAAUAACUAUGGACCAACUCGACAAGACCCAGCCCAAAAACUUGUGCCUAGAAGGCCGGCCGGGCCCCGAAAAUACAGCAUUAAAGCCCGGCCCAGCCCAACCCAAAAUCGAAUGGGAUGGGCCUAGGCCCAUUCAGAAGGCAGACUUAGCUGCAGCCCUAUUAAAACAUUUUCUAUUGAAUUAUCUAUUUUACCAACCGUUAGAUUAUGACUA